CCAGCUUGAAAUCAAAUUUCAAUAUUUGUGUUUUAACCAGAAAAAUUGUUUUGUUUUUAUUAGCUCAAAAUCUGAUUUCAGCCUCCACGUCAAUCCAAUUGUCCAGAAUUCUACAGAAUCCGUAGUGCUGGUCAGGGUAAAUACAGAUUAUGAACUGCUCCAGAUGACGUUUUGACGGGCCUUACCUGUCCUGACGGCGUUGCGAGCCUGGUUGACCGUCAUCUGCGAGCUGACGUGCAACGGCACUUUGGGCUGCUGGCCGGUCGCGGUCUGAGCCGCCGUCACGGCCGCCGCGG